rnacentral:lncRNA from 1 species
CCUAGAGCAAGAGGAGAAGCUCUCCAGAUUUGCUGACCUAGAAGGAUAAGACUGAAAGUAGGAGGGUGGGGAGAGCCAGAUGAACAAGGGAGGUGAAAAUGUGAUCUAGGGAGGCAUCCGAGUGAGCAAAGGCACAAGUGAGCCUGGUACACUUCUGGGCAGGCAGAAGGAAGGCAGUUAGGCUGUUAGGAAGGCAGUUAGGCUGCAGUGAAUUCUACAAAGAGGCUAUGGGAAAGAAACCUGGAAAGGUAGGGAGGUAUGGAUAUGGACAAGCUAUGCCAAGGAGCUGGGCUUUGUCAUGGAGAGUGACUAGGUGCUUUUACAUAGGAAAGUCACCUGAUAAUAUUAAAACCUGUGAAAUAUCACUCUGGUGGAAGUGUGAAUGAAUUUGAAAGGGGUGUAACACUGUUCUACUUUGUUUACUCCUCAGUAGCCUUGGCUGUGUACAUUUGAGUAAAGAGAGCACUAUAAAAUCAAAAACCAGUGAAAUGGUUUCCAGAACACAGAACUAUUAAGCUUAAGAAAAGGACAGAAGGAACUGAAGAGAGAGGAACUGUUUUGGAGCAUCACACUUCCACCUCAGAAGAAAUAAGGAAGGAAGGAGGAGGGUGUUCCCACGGCUCUUCAACCAGGCCGGCUCUUCAGCCUACAUCCCCAUCUCAUCAAGUAAAAGGGAUUUUUCAACUGGACCAACCAGAUGGUUUAACAGUGCACUCCCACACCAUUCAACUACGCAAGGGAGAUACACUUAACAUAUGCAGUCGUAUAACACCUACUAACAUUUUCAAACAUUAAACCUUUAAAAAAGAGUUCUAAAGAAAUAGAAGCUUGAAGUAUCAUCUCUCAAGUAUAUAGACACUACUUCAUGGUGUGGUAAUAUAUGCAUAUAGAAGCUAGUAAACACCUCCAGGAGAUGCAAAAGGAAUUAGAACUGCCACAAGGUGCAAGCAAAACCUUGAGGUAAUCAAUCUGCAUCCCAUUUUGGAUGAGAAUAUUUGCAACUUUGAAGGUUAUUUUAAGGACAGCAGCAGAAGAAUUAUGGCAGGUAUCUGAAAUUCAUUUCUGUGCUUUGCUGAGGACCCAUGGGAUGCCAUUUGCAGAUGAGAAAACUAAAGAAUAGCUUUAUCUUCCAGCUCUUCAUGGAAAAAAAAAAUGGCAACAAUAAAAUCAGCAACUCUUGCCAAAUAAAUGGACAUAAAAAAGAAAUCAUAGACUGCUGGCAAUGGUGGGGAAAAAGUUAUAAAAAUUGUCUCUGCACCAUCUUCCUUUUGUCCUCUAAAAUAUUCACAUUAGCAAAAGUAUAUAACAGCUGAUGAAUACUGAUAAUUUGUCUUUGUAAGUAUAUCGAAAACAUUUCAAGAUCUAGAAAUUUGAAAUUGUUGACAAGUAUUUAUCUGUUUAUUCACAAAUUUGAAAUCAACCUCAGGAAUGCUCAUUCUGAUUGAUAUACUUAGGUCAUAAAUUUUUAAGACCACAGAUUUCCAGGGACUUUUUGGAAAAUCACCCAGUAAAACAAUGUCUUUUUGCAGGGGACUAGCUUCAGUAUUUUGGCUUCUUUUUGCUUCUUUGCAACAAAUUGGGAGACAAAGGUGGGAAAGUUUUUUUUCAAUAAGUUAAUAAUUUUUUAAAGGUCAAAAUUUUGUUCUUUGCUUAUAUUAGAAUUAAACACUGUGAGAUUCUCUCUGAGACCUUGUAUACUUUCUCUUUUAAAGAUAAUUUUACUGCAUGUAAUUUUUCUGGGAAAGACUCUCAGAGUUGUUGUCUGAAAGUACCUUGAUGUUUGGAUAUGGGUUUGUUUGGAUGAACAACAAAAGGAAUAAUGUAAGAG